rnacentral:miRNA from 1 species
UGAAACUUGCUUAGUACGGG